rnacentral:sRNA from 1 species
AGCAGCCGCGGUAAUUCCAGCUCCAAUAGCGUAUAUUAAAGUUGUUGCAGUUAAAAAGCUCGUAGUUGAAUUUCGGGGUUCUACCGUUGGUCAGGCUAUAGUCUGUACUGGCGUGUGGAAUUUCUACCUUCUGGGGAACUAUCAUGUUAUUAAUUUAGCGUGGUAGGAAACCAGAACCUUUACCUUGAAAAAUUAGAGUGUUCAAAGCAGGCUUACGUCUGAAUACAUUAGCAUGGAAUAAUAAAAUAGGACGGUGGUCCUGUUUUGUUGGUUUCUGAAUCACCGUAAUGAUUAAUAGGGAUAGUUGGGGGUAUUAGUAUUCAAUUGUCAGAGGUGAAAUUCUUGGAUUUAUUGAAGACUAACUACUGCGAAAGCAUUUGCCAAGGAUGUUUUCAUUAAUCAAGAACGAAA